GAUGAACGCUGGCGGCGUGCCUAAUACAUGCAAGUCGAGCGAACGGACGAGAAGCUUGCUUCUCUGAUGUUAGUGGCGGACGGGUGAGUAACACGUGGAUAACCUACCUAUAAGACUGGGAUAACUUCGGGAAACCAGAGCUAAUACCGGAUAAUAUUUUGAACCGCAUGGUUCAAAAGUGAAAGACGGUCUUGCUGUCACUUAUAGAUGGAUCCGCGCUGCAUUAGCUAGUUGGUAAGGUAACGGCUUACCAAGGCAACGAUGCAUAGCCUACCUGAGAGGGUGAUCGGCCACACUGGAACUGAGACACGGUCCAGACUCCUACGGGAGGCAGCAGUAGGGAAUCUUCCGCAAUGGGCGAAAGCCUGACGGAGCAACGCCGCGUGAGUGAUGAAGGUCUUCGGAUCGUAAAACUCUGUUAUUAGGGAAGAACAUAUGUGUAAGUAACUGUGCACAUCUUGACGGUACCUAAUCAGAAAGCCACGGCUAACUACGUG
rnacentral:rRNA from 1 species